rnacentral:rRNA from 1 species
UACGGGGGGGGCAAGCGUUGUUCGGAAUUACUGGGCGUAAAGGGCUUGUAGGUGGCCAACUAAGUCAGACGUGAAAUCCCUCGGCUUAACCGGGGAACUGCGUCUGAUACUGGAUGGCUGGAGUGUGGGAGAGGGAUGCGGAAUUCCAGGUGUAGCGGUGAAAUGCGUAGAUAUCUGGAGGAACACCGGUGGCGAAGGCGGCAUCCUGGACCAUUACUGACGCUGAGGAGCGAAAGCGUGGGGAGCAAACAGG